rnacentral:rRNA from 1 species
UGGCGGCAGGCCUAACACAUGCAAGUCGAGCGGUAGCACAGAGAGCUUGCUCUCGGGUGACGAGCGGCGGACGGGUGAGUAAUGUCUGGGAAACUGCCUGAUGGAGGGGGAUAACUACUGGAAACGGUAGCUAAUACCGCAUAACGUCGCAAGACCAAAGUGGGGGACCUUCGGGCCUCAUGCCAUCAGAUGUGCCCAGAUGGGAUUAGCUAGUAGGUGGGGUAACGGCUCACCUAGGCGACGAUCCCUAGCUGGUCUGAGAGGAUGACCAGCCACACUGGAACUGAGACACGGUCCAGACUCCUACGGGAGGCAGCAGUGGGGAAUAUUGCACAAUGGGCGCAAGCCUGAUGCAGCCAUGCCGCGUGUGUGAAGAAGGCCUUCGGGUUGUAAAGCACUUUCAGCGGGGAGGAAGGCGUUAAGGUUAAUAACCUUGGCGAUUGACGUUACCCGCAGAAGAAGCACCGGCUAACUCCGUGCCAGCAGCCGCGGUAAUACGGAGGGUGCAAGCGUUAAUCGGAAUUACUGGGCGUAAAGCGCACGCAGGCGGUCUGUCAAGUCGGAUGUGAAAUCCCCGGGCUCAACCUGGGAACUGCAUUCGAAACUGGCAGGCUAGAGUCUUGUAGAGGGGGUAGAAUUCCAGGUGUAGCGGUGAAAUGCGUAGAGAUCUGGAGGAAUACCGGUGGCGAAGGCGGCCCCCUGGACAAAGACUGACGCUCAGGUGCGAAAGCGUGGGGAGCAAACAGGAUUAGAUACCCUGGUAGUCCACGCCGUAAACGAUGUCGAUUUGGAGGUUGUGCCCUUGAGGCGUGGCUUCCGGAGCUAACGCGUUAAAUCGACCGCCUGGGGAGUACGGCCGCAAGGUUAAAACUCAAAUGAAUUGACGGGGGCCCGCACAAGCGGUGGAGCAUGUGGUUUAAUUCGAUGCAACGCGAAGAACCUUACCUGGUCUUGACAUCCACAGAACUUUCCAGAGAUGGAUUGGUGCCUUCGGGAACUGUGAGACAGGUGCUGCAUGGCUGUCGUCAGCUCGUGUUGUGAAAUGUUGGGUUAAGUCCCGCAACGAGCGCAACCCUUAUCCUUUGUUGCCAGCGGUCCGGCCGGGAACUCAAAGGAGACUGCCAGUGAUAAACUGGAGGAAGGUGGGGAUGACGUCAAGUCAUCAUGGCCCUUACGACCAGGGCUACACACGUGCUACAAUGGCAUAUACAAAGAGAAGCGACCUCGCGAGAGCAAGCGGACCUCAUAAAGUAUGUCGUAGUCCGGAUUGGAGUCUGCAACUCGACUCCAUGAAGUCGGAAUCGCUAGUAAUCGUAGAUCAGAAUGCUACGGUGAAUACGUUCCCGGGCCUUGUACACACCGCCCGUCACACCAUGGGAGUGGGUUGCAAAAGAAGUAGGUAGCUUAACCUUCGGGAGGGCGCUUACCACUUUGUGAUUCAUGACUGGGGUGAAGUCAUAACA